GCAUAUGUAGUUCAAUGGUAGAACUUUAGCUUCCCAAGCUAAUAACGCGGGUUCGAUUCCCGUCAUAUGCUCCA
rnacentral:tRNA from 1 species